rnacentral:rRNA from 1 species
AACGAACGCUGGCGGCGUGCCUAACACAUGCAAGUCGAACGCGAAAAGCAGUAAUGCUGAGUAGAGUGGCGCACGGGUGAGUAACACGUAAAUGACAUGUCCUCGAGACGGGAAUAACCAGCCGAAAGGCUGGCUAAUACCCGGUAAGCCCACGUCUUUGGAGAUGAGGGAAAAGGGUCGGGAAUUUUCGAAUCCGAUCGCUUGAGGAGUGGUUUGCGGCCCAUCAGGUAGUUGGCGAGGUAAAAGCUCACCAAGCCUAAGACGGGUAGCUGGUCUGAGAGGAUGAUCAGCCACACUGGAACUGAGACACGGUCCAGACUCCUACGGGAGGCAGCAGUGGGGAAUCUUGCACAAUGGGAGCAAUCCUGACGCAGCAACGCCGCGUGGGUGAUGAAGGUCUUCGGAUCGUAAAGCCCUGUCGGAGGGGAAGAUGCUUGGAACGUCUAAUAGAUGAGCCAGGUGACGGUACCCUC